rnacentral:sRNA from 1 species
GCCAGGCACUGAGGUGCAUGCCUGUAAUCCCAGGGAUUCUGGAGGCUGAGAUAAGAGGAUCACAAGUUCAAGGACAGUCUCAGAAACUCUGUGUGACCCUAUCUCAA